ACUUAUGGUGGGCUGGACGGGGCAGCUGUAAGGCUGGCCGUUGCUUUCCGGUAAGACCAAUUCCGUUCAGUCCACCUCCAUA
rnacentral:antisense_RNA from 1 species